rnacentral:rRNA from 1 species
AAUCUGGGGUCCCCGACCUCCGAGUUGUAAUUUGGAGAGGCAUCUUCGGGGGGGAGCGCCGGCCCAUGUUCCUUGGGACAGGACGUCACAGAGGGUGAGAAUCCCGUGCCUGGCCGGCUGCCUCCUCCCGGGUGGAGGGCCUUCGACGAGUCGAGUUGUUUGGGAAUGCAGCUCCAAGUGGGUGGUAAAUUUCAUCUAAAGCUAAAUACCGGCGGGAGACCGAUAGCGCACAAGUAGAGUGAUCGAAAGAUGAAAAGCACUUUGAAAAUAGAGUCAAAAAGUACGUGAAAUUGUUGAAAGGGAAGCGCUUGAGACCAGACUCGGGCCUGGGCAAACAUCGCGCCCCUCGGGGCCGUGCAAUUGCCCGGGCCUGGGCCAGCAUCAGUUGGCGUGGCGGGACAAAGGCGCGGGGAAUGUGGCUCCCCUCGGGGAGUGUUAUUAGGCCCGCGCUCAAUGCCGCCGACGCCGACUGAGGACCGCGCCUCGGCUAGGAUGCUGGCUUAAUGGCCUUCAGCGACCCGUCUUGAAACACGGACCAAGGAGUCUAACAUCUAUGCGAGUGUUUGGGCGACAAACCCUUGCGCGGAAUGAAAGUGAGCGGAGGUGGGAACCCCCUCGCGGGGCGCACCAUCGACCGAUCCUGAUGUCUUCGGAUGGAUUUGAGUA